rnacentral:rRNA from 1 species
AUUGAACGCUGGCGGCAGGCCUAACACAUGCAAGUCGCACGAGUGGCGGACGGGUGAGUAAUGUCUGGGAAACUGCCCGAUGGAGGGGGAUAACUACUGGAAACGGUAGCUAAUACCGCAUACCAUCGGAUGUGCCCAGAUGGGAUUAGCUAGUAGGUUGGGUAAAGGCUCACCUAGGCGACGAUCCCUAGCUGGUCUGAGAGGAUGACCAGCCACACUGGAAGUGAGACACGGUCCAGACUCCUAAGGGAGGCAGCAGUGGGGAAGAUGGCACAAUGGGCGCAAGACUGAUGCAGCCAUGCCGCGUGUAUUAAGAAGGCCUUCGGGUUGUAAAGUACUUUCAGCGGGGAGGCGUUACCCGCAGAAGAAGCACCGGCUAACGCCGUGCCAGCAGCCGCGGUAAUAC